GCUUGUCUCAAAGAUUAAGCCAUGCAUGUCUAAGUAUGAAUGUUAUACAGUGAAACUGCGAAUGGCUCAUUAAAACAGUUAUUGUUUAUUUGAUAAUCAAAUUUACAUGGAUAACCGUGGUAAUUCUAGAGCUAAUACAUGCUGAUAUGCCUGACUCUUAGGAAGGGCUGUAUUUAUUAGAUAACAAACCAAUAUUCCUCGUGUCUAUUGUGAUGACUCAUAAUAACUGAUCGAAUCGCAUGGACUUUGUCCGCGAUACAUCAUUCAAGUUUCUGCCCCAUCAGCUUUCGAUGGUAGUGUAUUGGACUACCAUGGCUUUAACGGGUAACGGAGGAUUAGGGUUCGAUUCCGGAGAGGGAGCCUGAGAAACGGCUACCACAUCUAAGGAAGGCAGCAGGCGCGUAAAUUACCCAAUCCUAAUUCAGGGAGGUAGUGACAAGAAAUAACGGACUGAGGCCUACGCUUCAGGAUUGCAAUGAGUAGAAUUAAACCCCUUGCG
rnacentral:rRNA from 1 species